UGGGGAAUAUUGGACAAUGGGCGGAAGCCUGAUCCAGCAACGCCGCGUGAGGGAUGACGGCCUUCGGGUUGUAAACCUCUUUCAGCACAGACGAAGCGCAAGUGACGGUAUGUGCAGAAGAAGGACCGGCCAACUACGUGCCAGCAGCCGCGGUAAUACGUAGGGUCCGAGCGUUGUCCGGAAUUAUUGGGCGUAAAGGGCUCGUAGGCGGUUUGUCGCGUCGGGAGUGAAAACACCGGGCUUAACUCGGUGCUUGCUUUCGAUACGGGCAGACUAGAGGCAUUCAGGGGAGAACGGAAUUCCUGGUGUAGCGGUGAAAUGCGCAGAUAUCAGGAGGAACACCGGUGGCGAAGGCGGUUCUCUGGGAAUGUCCUGACGCUGAGGAGCGAAAGUGUGGGGAGCGAACAGGAUUAGAUACCCUGGUAGUCCACACCGUAAACGUUGGGCGCUAGGUGUGGGAUCCAUUCCACGGGUUCCGUGCCGCAGCUAACGCAUUAAGCGCCCCGCCUGGGGAGUACGGCCGCAAGGCUAAAACUCAAAGGAAUUGACGGGGUCAUAGCUGUUUCCU
rnacentral:rRNA from 1 species